rnacentral:tRNA from 1 species
AGCCCCCCCCCCAGCCC